rnacentral:rRNA from 1 species
GCCCAGUGACUUUCUUAAACGGCCGCGGUAUCCUAACCGUGCAAAGGUAGCAUAAUCACUUGUCCCCUAAAUAGGGACUAGUAUGAACGGUCAAAUGAGGACCUAACUGUCUCUUACAUUUAACCAAUAAAACUGAUCUCUCAGUUAAAAAGCUGGGAUACAAACAUAAGACGAGAAGACCCUGUGGAGCUUCAAACCAAACCCAACCCUAAUGAAAUAAGGUUUUUAGUUGGGGCGACUUCGGAGUAUAAAAAAACCUCCGACACAAGCUUUAUUAAGACCAACACGUCAACAUAUUCUUCUUCCUGACCCGGUAUUUAUUAAAAUAUCCGAUCAAUGAACCAAGUUACCCCAGGGAUAACAGCGCCAUCCCCUUCUAGAGUCCUUAUCGACAAGGGGGUUUACGACCUCGAUGUUGGAUCAGGACACCCAAAUAGUGCAGCCGCUAUUAAAGGUUCGUUUGUUCAACGAUUAACAGUCCUACGUGAUCUGAGGUUCAG